GUCUAUCACAGAUAUAUGACAGAGGAGACUGACUCUUGUCUGGAUGUUACAGGGACAGAUUAUGUUUAUCUGCUGUAGAGUAACUGAUGAAGGAAUGCUGCCAUCAAAGGAUUUGUAUCUUUUGUGGUGGAGCAGGACCUGCAAGGAAAGGUGAAAAAGGGGGUAAACCUGAAACAAAAGAAUAAUGUAAUGACUUUUUGUAUUGUGUAUGUGUAUUUUUGUAGGGCAUGAAAAUGUCUGUAGACUGGUGUGUGCACUGAGGAUGGAGAAGACCACAGCAUCAUCCUGGAAAUGAUCGAGAGUCACAGAUGAGACGCUCCAUCACUCCAGCUCUUACUGUCUCAUCAGGACCAGAUCCUGCUGUGGUGUCUUCAUCCUCAGUGACCCCAGAGCCAGUGAGAGCAUCAAGAGAAAGACCACAAGACACUGAGGAUGUGAUUUUGGGGCCUACAAUCCCCUGAUCAACCUGGAGAAGAGAGCCUUGCUCAAGGACACACUGGUGUUCCUGUGGCUCAAGUGGUAGAGCAUUGCGUUAGCAGUGCAAGGUUGAGGGUUCGAAUACCAGGGAACACAUGUUAAGUAGUCGUGCUCAUGGGGUGCAGGCACACGAAAGUUUGGAGCAGACACAGCAGUCAGAUUGUCCUGCACGUGUUCUUCUGCUCUCGCUUUAAAGUUGUGUGGUUCAGAGAGCCGUCAUCAAGGUCUUCUUCAUCCUGUUGCUCAACCACAUCCCCGUUGAAAAGAGUGCGAUUGUGAAGCGCAGCAGCAGAACUGUAUCAGCUGUGUUCAGAUGGCAGGAGGAUGUUGGGUUCACAAUCUAAAAUAAAUUUGGCUUCUUUUACUAAAAUGUCAUUUCAAGAAAAAAAAUUAUAUAAUUAUUGGUUGGCAUUUAUCGUUAUUAUUGCAUGGUAAGUGUUGGGGUGGCCAAAAGAUGCAAUUCAUUAUGGGGUAAUGUUCAUUUUCGAGUGGUAAUACUUACAUUUUUAGAGUGUCAAAUCAACAGUCUUCUCCAAAGGUGAG